UUAAGCGACUAAGCGUACACGGUGGAUGCCCUGGCAGUCAGAGGCGAUGAAGGACGUGCUAAUCUGCGAUAAGCGUCGGUAAGGUGAUAUGAACCGUUAUAACCGGCGAUUUCCGAAUGGGGAAACCCAGUGUGAUUCGUCACACUAUCAUUAACUGAAUCCAUAGGUUAAUGAGGCGAACCGGGGGAACUGAAACAUCUAAGUACCCCGAGGAAAAGAAAUCAACCGAGAUUCCCCCAGUAGCGGCGAGCGAACGGGGAGCAGCCCAGAGCCUGAAUCAGUGUGUGUGUUAGUGGAAGCGUCUGGAAAGGCGCGCGAUACAGGGUGACAGCCCCGUACACAAAAAUGCACAUGCUGUGAGCUCGAUGAGUAGGGCGGGACACGUGGUAUCCUGUCUGAAUAUGGGGACCAUCCUCCAAGGCUAAAUACUCCUGACUGACCGAUAGUGAACCAGUACCGUGAGGGAAAGGCGAAAAGAACCCCGGCGAGGGGAGUGAAAAGAACCUGAAACCGUGUACGUACAAGCAGUGGGAGCACGCUUCGGCGUGUGACUGCGUACCUUUGUAUAAUGGGUCAGCGACUUAUAUUCUGUAGCAAGGUUAACCGAAUAGGGGAGCCGAAGGGAAACCGAGUCUUAACUGGGCGUUAAGUUGCAGGGUAUAGACCCGAAACCCGGUGAUUCAGCCAUGGGCAGGUUGAAGGUUGGGUAACACUAACUGGAGGACCGAACCGACUAAUGUUGAAAAAUUAGCGGAUGACUUGUGGCUGGGGGUGAAAGGCCAAUCAAACCGGGAGAUAGCUGGUUCUCCCCGAAAGCUAUUUAGGUAGCGCCUCGUGAAUUCAUCUCCGGGGGUAGAGCACUGUUUCGGCAAGGGGGUCAUCCCGACUUACCAACCCGAUGCAAACUGCGAAUACCGGAGAAUGUUAUCACGGGAGACACACGGCGGGUGCUAACGUCCGUCGUGAAGAGGGAAACAACCCAGACCGCCAGCUAAGGUCCCAAAGUCAUGGUUAAGUGGGAAACGAUGUGGGAAGGCCCAGACAGCCAGGAUGUUGGCUUAGAAGCAGCCAUCAUUUAAAGAAAGCGUAAUAGCUCACUGGUCGAGUCGGCCUGCGCGGAAGAUGUAACGGGGCUAAACCAUGCACCGAAGCUGCGGCAGCGACACUAUGUGUUGUUGGGUAGGGGAGCGUUCUGUAAGCCUGUGAAGGUGUACUGUGAGGUAUGCUGGAGGUAUCAGAAGUGCGAAUGCUGACAUAAGUAACGAUAAAGCGGGUGAAAAGCCCGCUCGCCGGAAGACCAAGGGUUCCUGUCCAACGUUAAUCGGGGCAGGGUGAGUCGACCCCUAAGGCGAGGCCGAAAGGCGUAGUCGAUGGGAAACAGGUUAAUAUUCCUGUACUUGGUGUUACUGCGAAGGGGGGACGGAGAAGGCUAUGUUGGCCGGGCGACGGUUGUCCCGGUUUAAGCGUGUAGGCUGGUUUUCCAGGCAAAUCCGGAAAAUCAAGGCUGAGGCGUGAUGACGAGGCACUACGGUGCUGAAGCAACAAAUGCCCUGCUUCCAGGAAAAGCCUCUAAGCAUCAGGUAACAUCAAAUCGUACCCCAAACCGACACAGGUGGUCAGGUAGAGAAUACCAAGGCGCUUGAGAGAACUCGGGUGAAGGAACUAGGCAAAAUGGUGCCGUAACUUCGGGAGAAGGCACGCUGAUAUGUAGGUGAAGCGACUUGCUCGUGGAGCUGAAAUCAGUCGAAGAUACCAGCUGGCUGCAACUGUUUAUUAAAAACACAGCACUGUGCAAACACGAAAGUGGACGUAUACGGUGUGACGCCUGCCCGGUGCCGGAAGGUUAAUUGAUGGGGUUAGCGGUAACGCGAAGCUCUUGAUCGAAGCCCCGGUAAACGGCGGCCGUAACUAUAACGGUCCUAAGGUAGCGAAAUUCCUUGUCGGGUAAGUUCCGACCUGCACGAAUGGCGUAAUGAUGGCCAGGCUGUCUCCACCCGAGACUCAGUGAAAUUGAACUCGCUGUGAAGAUGCAGUGUACCCGCGGCAAGACGGAAAGACCCCGUGAACCUUUACUAUAGCUUGACACUGAACAUUGAGCCUUGAUGUGUAGGAUAGGUGGGAGGCUUUGAAGUGUGGACGCCAGUCUGCAUGGAGCCGACCUUGAAAUACCACCCUUUAAUGUUUGAUGUUCUAACGUUGACCCGUGAUCCGGGUUGCGGACAGUGUCUGGUGGGUAGUUUGACUGGGGCGGUCUCCUCCUAAAGAGUAACGGAGGAGCACGAAGGUUGGCUAAUCCUGGUCGGACAUCAGGAGGUUAGUGCAAUGGCAUAAGCCAGCUUGACUGCGAGCGUGACGGCGCGAGCAGGUGCGAAAGCAGGUCAUAGUGAUCCGGUGGUUCUGAAUGGAAGGGCCAUCGCUCAACGGAUAAAAGGUACUCCGGGGAUAACAGGCUGAUACCGCCCAAGAGUUCAUAUCGACGGCGGUGUUUGGCACCUCGAUGUCGGCUCAUCACAUCCUGGGGCUGAAGUAGGUCCCAAGGGUAUGGCUGUUCGCCAUUUAAAGUGGUACGCGAGCUGGGUUUAGAACGUCGUGAGACAGUUCGGUCCCUAUCUGCCGUGGGCGCUGGAGAACUGAGGGGGGCUGCUCCUAGUACGAGAGGACCGGAGUGGACGCAUCACUGGUGUUCGGGUUGUCAUGCCAAUGGCACUGCCCGGUAGCUAAAUGCGGAAGAGAUAAGUGCUGAAAGCAUCUAAGCACGAAACUUGCCCCGAGAUGAGUUCUCCCUGACUCCUUGAGAGUCCUGAAGGAACGUUGAAGACGACGACGUUGAUAGGCCGGGUGUGUAAGCGCAGCGAUGCGUUGAGCUAACCGGUACUAAUGAACCGUGAGGCUUAACCU
rnacentral:rRNA from 1 species